CUGUAGAGCAGCCGAUCCACAUCAAGUCAAGGCAAUGCACUCAUUACAAGGUAAAGAAAAAGCAUCACAUCUUUUACAUGAUAAAACUAAAACAACAAACUGGUGACAUAAUCACUAACAAAACUAGUUAUAAAAAAGUAAGUGUGUAAGAGAGAAGCUUGCGUUGCAUUUACAAUUUUUUUUUUAAAUGUAAAUAUGACUAGCUUUUUACAAUUAAUAUAUGGUAAUAAAAAGUUUUACAUCAAAGUUCUGCAAUAUUGUUCCUUUUUUAUGCUUUAUAUAGAAAUAUGCACAUAAUUAAUUUAAUUAGACAUACGCAAUAGGUUUUCAAUCUGAAUUUCGUCUGAAUUCGGUAAUUUUGGAAAUUUUGGUAAUUCGGAAGCAUCAGAAUAUGCAAAAUGAUAGAAAACGAAAUUAAAACUCAUGGAUCCAUAAUUAAUCAAGUUAGUAUGUUUCGGAUCUAUUUGUUUGUUAGCAAAUUAGGGAGUUAUCUAAUUAACAAGUGAAAGAGCAUAAUUAAAAGGGCUCUUCUUAAUUUAGAUUUUUCAGCAGUUUAGAGUAUAGCUCUUUAAUUUAGUAUUCUUAAAUAUGGCAAUCCCAAGGACAGCGAAAUAAAAUUAUCUACUUAACAUCUGAAUAAGCAAAAUCAAGAGAAGGGCAAUGUUUUAUGUGCUUUAUUUUUUUUAUUUUUUUUUCUGUAUUGAUUAUAAUUAUUACCUACUCACCUAAUUAGGGACACAUUUGUGUAUGUAUUGUUAUCAAAUUAUCAAUAAUAAUUGCAUUAUAGUGCUAGGAUAGUGCUGUCCAGUAGACAUUUGUAUGAACAUUUUGUUCAGUCUAAAUCAUUAUUUUCUGAAACUAGAAAAUUUUUUGGGACAAACACAUUUUGGCCAAAUGUUGGUCCACCCGGCUGAAAUUCUGAUUUGGGAAUUGAAUCAGAUUACCAAAAAAAAAAUCAACAUUUAGUGACUGUCCCUAGACAAAAAUAAAUUCUCUUUUUCCCAUCAAUUAUCUCUUUUUUUGAUGUCACUGGCGGAAUUCAGAAUCACUAAACGAAAAAAACAUGAUCAGCCACAGCGCGUAUUGGUUGGUUUGCGAUUCUGGCACACUUUGGCUGGGACUUCUGAAUUUGUCUGAUCCAAUGAUUGGUCCAAAUUUGACAAAACUGCAAUUUGGCCAAAAUUAUUCUCCAAGUCAAGCGUCCAGCAAUAAGCUGCAUGCUAAUAAUUUUACACUUUGUAUAUGUGUAUCAACAAAACUGGUCAAAUACACUUCUAAACCAGCCCUGUAGUAUUCAUAAUAUCACAGCCUUAAACAGUUUUUCUGUGUUGUAUAUGAUCCAACAAAAUAUUUAUUAAUACAUUUGAGAACUAAAGAAAAGGCUCAAAUGUUUUUUUUAUUUCUUAAUAAUUCUAAUUACUCUGUAGUUAGAAAAUAAUUUCGGCUGUAUUGAUGAUGGUUUUAAUUUAUUUUUACUUACAGUUGAUUAGAUACUUAAUAUUAAAUAUAAUUUCUAUUAUAUUUCGCUAUGUAAACAUUAGUUUACGAUUGGCCGCCCAGUAAAAAUGUAAGACUACUUGUGGCCUCUAAGCUCAAUUGGAAAUCAAUCAACCUGCAUCAUUAUGACUUUACAUUAUAUAAACCAUGUCUAUGCUUGACUAACGUCUGUAUCCAAGGACAGUUUUAGUUAGAUGCAAGUAGUGAAGCAAAAGAAAAAACAACAUACACAGAAAUAACUGCUCUGAAGACCUUGCAAGAGAACCAAUCAUAUAAAUGUGCAAACAGGUCACAAAGAGAAUGACCACUAAACUGUGCACAGUUUUAUUCAGAGAGUGGAUGCAAAUUAUAUGAGAUCCAUGGCAAUCAGCCAAAAUACCUUAUUUUUUCCCCCUAUUCUAUCAAGCUUUUAUACCUCCUACAUGCACUUUGUCCACCAGAAGAAAUAAAGCAAGCAGAUGAAAAUUCUUUCUUUAGAGAAAAUAAAAAAUAUCUUAGAUUUCGGGCGUCAGCUCAACAUGGCGUUAGCCCUGAUUUUUACUGACCUCACUCGAAUGAAGUGGAACUGGAUGUUACCACUGAUGUUACUGCAGAGCUGAAGGAUCUAUCUACACACCCUCCAGUGCAAGAUUUCAUAUCUCAGCCACAAGAGGUGACACAUUAGACCUCUUUAAGACUAGAUAUUGGGCAAACUGUGCAAAUGCCUGGUGGACUGCAGUGGCAAUGCUCUGAUACUUUCCUAUGCGGAAACAGAAGAGAGCACUCUGCACCUGCUGGAGGAGCAGAAUUGCUACCUAACUCACUGGACCACUAGGGAUCAGGAUCAUCUCACUGGACCAAGGUAAGUAAAAGGGAGGGGGAAAUGAACCAUUUUUAAAUACCUUCAUCUACUUCAGCCUUUAUAUAUAAAUAUAUAAUUUCUGUCUAUUAAUGGCAGCAUCACAUAUGGGUAGCUCCACCCCUAGCCAGAACAGGAAACUGAACACUUAAACAAUAAAUCAGAUUGUAGGCAUAAAAGGUCCCUUCUCCUUCCAUACCUCAGUCUUUAUUUCUGUGCUCAGUAGGACAAACAGGAAUUUUACUUCCUAACCAAUUUAUUUAUUUUUUUGGCCAUCUUACAUGUUCACCAUAGGUAUACCAGAUGAAGUUCAGCCUCUCUUCGCCUGAACAGCCUGCAGGAUCAGGACUAACUGAGUUAGGUUCAUUUUAUACGCUGAACUGCAAUGUGGAAAAGUGUGUGUUCCUAAAAUCAAAUUAGCUAGAAUUAAGAAUAUUGCAUUAUCUUGCAUUAUCUCUGCACUCAUGAGUUGGUUUAUCCUUAAAAAAAACUACGGGCUAGAGUUUACUCUCACCACUUGGACCACCAGGGAUACCCCACAGACCACCAGGGAUUAAGAAAAGACAUAAUGUAUAUUUAUUAAAAAAAAAAUAUUUUAAAAAAGCCCCCCUUACCCUCCUCACCACACAUUUACACACUGCCCCCCUACACACAUUGCCCACCACACACAUACACUGCCCCCACAUACACAUACACUGCCCCCACACACACACAUUGCCCCCAUACACACACUGCCCCAUACACACACUUCCCCCCACACACAUACACUGGUGUAGAAGGAGGAGGGACCUUUUAUGCCUAUGUUUGCAUGUAUUCUCCCUGAUAUGCCAUGUUUAUUUGGAUUAUUUGGAUUACAAAUCUUUUGUAAACACAUGAAAGAGGUGUUUGCACUCACUAUGAUUUAUUCUCUCAGUCCCUGUGACAACAGGAUGAAGGAUCACAAAUCCCUUUACUUUUCCAUAAUCUUAUAUUCAGUCCUCAUACUAGUGUUUGUUAAACAGGUAUGGGUUUUAAUUCCAUCCUGGAAUUCCAUCCUGAAUCUCUGUAUAUGGGUGUAUAACACAUACUUAUGGAAUGUAAAGUUUAAAAGUUUAAAGUAAGCAUAAAGCUUCUCAUUAAACUCAUUUUAGAUGAGCACUUAAACAUGUUAUAUGUAAUAUCUAUUUUAUCUCUUAUUUAGAUCUAUGCACCAAGUGGGUAAUCAUUACAUUUAUUUCCCAUAUGUAACAAGGGAUAAAAAACACUCGUAUUUGUCUGUACAGGUGGCUUGCAAUUUGAAUGGAUUUAGCGAUCCUAAACUAGUUGAUUUGGUGGCUGGUAAACUUACGAUCUAUAAUUCCAGAGCUUGCCCUUGGAAAAUCUGUGAACACUUCAAUAUCGGGGUUUAUUAAAUCACUCUAAUCUCUUGGGAGAUAAAUUUUAGUAAUAUGGAUUGACUAAAAAUUCUCUCAAGAGACAAGAGGAUGCACGAAAGGAACCAUUUCGAAGUCUAAAUUAUUUAUUAAACAAUAAAGUAAAGCUCAAAGUAUUUCUCAGUAACUAGCAUUUUUUUUAUCAGGAGCAAUAAAUAGAAGUAAUUAUUUCUACUGAUAAAACAACACUGGUUUAUGGUUUAGUAUAUUUAGUAUCAAUGUUCCAAUUAAUCAUUUCUACUAGUACAAAAAAAAAAAAACUAACAGGUUAAGAGAGAGAGAGAGAGAGGGAGUGUGUGAGGGAGUGUGUGUGUGCGUGUGUGUGUGUGUGUGUCUCUCAAAAUGUGAUGGUGGGGAAAAAUAGUGAUUGAAAACCCCUUCCACAUGAAGUCAGUGGAUAGUCAAUACAAUGCAAAACACAGAUCUGCACACCAGUCAAGACUUGAUUUUCCCAGAGAAAAUUUUCGUCCAGGUUCCGAUUUUCCCCAUAGGAAAGCAUUGAAUAAUGCUUUUCCUAUAGGGAACGCAUGCGCACUUGAUAUUUCCCUGCCAGCUGACGUUGACGGGAGAGGAGCGUGGGCGCAGCCUGACCCAGAGCAGAGGGACAUCGGCGCUGGAUUUAGGUAAGUAGCUGAAGAGGAGGGAAGGGGGCACUCGAGGAUUUUCUAGUGCCAGGAACACGGGUUUGUUUUCCUUGCACUGGAGAAUCCCUUUAAUAGCAGACAUUACUUUUUAAGCAGUUGUAACAUUAUUAAAAGAACAAUGUAUCAUUAAUAUUUCUCCAGGUGAUGUACUACUGCAACCUUUAGAUUGUGAAUUUACACAUUUUGUACAAUAAUUUCUAAUGCCAAAAUUUUCUUCAAUAGAUAUUAGAGUUGUGCAUGGCAGACAAAUUUGAUUUGUCUGAACUAUUUUUUAAAAAUAUAUAGAUUUAGUUGGGUACCCCAAAACGUGUCUGAAUAUUGUCCGUGAAAAUUGAUCUUGAGAAACUAUUUAGACAUACAAAAAGGGCAUGAAAACAGGCCAAUCGGUGUACUGGAAUAUAUAUAUGUAAUAUAAAUAGUAUGUAUAUAGUUUGCAGAACAAACAUUAUGUAAAUAUUUUGUGGGACACUGAUAGGUGCUUUUUCCUGCUAUUUGGUACACAGAACAAAUGAGAAUGGUUUAACACCAAAGGCUUCAGAAAUUUAAGUUUCAGGAAGUGUGGAGUGCUGCCAGGGGUGGGGGGCGACGCUGAAUGGUUAAGAGCAGUCAGUUGACACUCUCAGCUAGUCAGUAACUCCCCAUUCACAAAACAUGUUUGAAAAGAAACUUACCUCUUUUAAAUUUCAGAAGCCAGGUGCCACCUGGGGGAGUUGAGUGUGGCGCUGCAGGCAACUUUGGGGUUAAAAAGAAUAGUGAUGACUCUGAUUCAGAGGUCACAAUACCUGACCAAAGAAUUAGUGCCAAAAAGCCCUAAGAUUACUCUCCCUAUUAGGGGAAUAACCCACAAAAUUAGUAUAAAAAAGAGAAAGGGAAAGGGGACUAAAAUAAGUCCUCAGUGAGAGAGUAAUGAAUGAGGGGAAGGGGGUCCCUACCUUUAAUAAUCCUAAAGGAAAACACAAUUAAAAAGGACAGAUGGGAAAAAAGGAGUUUAAAUGGUAAACCAUCUAGAGACAAUUACAGAAAACAGGUGUCUACUAUAAGAAAGAAAGACUGCCUGGCAAAUUCUAAACCAAAAGGUUGAGCAUCAUGCGUCCUAAGUCUCAUAGGUAACCAAUCUAGGUAUAUAAUAAUAGCUAGAACACUAAGCCUGUAUAUAGAGGUGAAAAAAAACCCUCUAUAGGAGAAGUAAAAAACUACCCCAAAUUUCCCAAAGACAGACUCCUAUCUAUGGAGAGCUUGCUCUAGUUACCUCGGCACUGUGUUGCCACAAAUGCCUACCCGGAUACCUAAUCCCUACAAGUCCUAAAAAUUGCAAAGAUUUAACCAACUAAAUCCAUAAGUGCUACCAAAAAACGUGAACAAAAAAAGAAAAUUAAAUUAAAUAAAGUAAGCUCGACGCGCGUUUCUGACGACGGCGUGCUGAAAAGCUCCUGACGACGCCGUGCUGAAACGCCGAAACGCGCGUCGAGCUUACUUUAUUUAAUUUAAUUUUCUUUUUUUGUUCACCCCCUUCCCCUCAUUCAUUACUCUCUCACUGAGGACUUAUUUUAGUCCCCUUUCCCUUUCUCUUUUUUAAACUUUGGGGUUAACCCAUUUGCGAAUGGUUUGAGAUAAGAGUGCCACUUGGGGCCUCCAGGUACCAUAGCAACUUAAUUUACAUAAAUUUGUUAUGGUGCAUGGAGUGUCCCUUUAAAUAUUUAUUAUCUAUAUAUUUUUUAUACUAUUGGCACUUCUCACUUGAUCUGUGAAUAAAAUCUAAAUUUAAUGGCUGUCCCCUAGCCAUCAGUCAUUUUUUUUCUCAUCAAUAAUAUCUUUGUGUGUCGCUAUGGACAGAACUCCAAUUCCCAAAGCAAACGAACAUGCUCAACCAUCACGCUUGUUGUUUGCUCCGUAUAACACUCUAAAAAUAUGGAAUCCAGCCAAACCGUUGUCCAGCCUAAAUUUGGAUAAAAAACUAAUUGGCCGAAACAGAAAGCACACCUUCAAUUAAUAUUUCCAUUAUACUAUUUUGCUGUGGUUCCCUAACACAUUUCAUUAAAGUAUUGAUCAAAACCAACAAUGAGACAACUGAGCUGAUCUAAGAUCCACUUUACAGUAGUAUAUGUACCUUAAGUUGAAAUGAUCUAAUGAAGACUACACUUACAGUGUCUCCUAGGUAACCUGGGCUGUCUUUUUAAAGAAACACGAGUAUCGUUAUAUUAUUAUUAUUAUUAUUAUUAGUUUAAAUAAUAUAGGUUUUCUGUCAGUAAUAGGACCAUAAAAUGUGGAAUUUAAAUGCUGGUAGGAAAAGGCUGGAGCCCUGAGAGAGGUCCUAAAAGGUCUAAUUUUGGCAGCAUUUCAAUGUUAGACCUGAAUAUAAAAAAAUAACACCUCAAAUUAAAUCAUUUGUGGCUUUUUUUAUGCAUAAUAGAGUUUGUUAUAUAGCACAGGAUGUGAGUAUUGCUUUUGGUGCAGGAGUUUAAUGCAGUAGGGUGAAGGGUUAAUACAGCAUGUUUGGAGUUUAUAAAUAUAGGUUCAUGUAAUACUCUGAAUUCAAUAAAAUAUAUGGCUUCUCAAUUUGAUUUACAAAACAUAUUAUUGUUUGGGUUUGGUUGUAGGAGGGGUUUUAGUUAAUAUAUGCGAAAGGGGUCAUAACAUGAACACUUGGCCAGAAUAAUUUGAUCUUUUUGCCACCUGGCAACACCUCAGUUGGCUGCAGGGCAUGCCACCAAUCAAAUCCUUUUUAAAAGGAAGCAUUGUGAAAUAAAACUAUUCAGAAACAGGGGAGUUGCAAACUCUUCCUUUAAGCCUUGUAGAGAGCAAAAUACACCGCACUGGAGGCUGGGAAUGUAAUGACAUUAUUAGAGCACCAUAACCACUUCAAUGAUGUAAUAAUGUGCCUAAAGUGCCUCUAUACAAUAAAACAUUACAGGUAUUACAGCCCAUGUGUUUUACAUUGUAAUGCAUACAUAUAAACUAAUACUUCUUUUCAAUGCAUCUUCAGCUUCACAGGAACUAUAUUUAAAGGACAACUGUCACCACAAAACUAUUUUUUUAUAUAAUAAAGUUAUCAAGUUUUCAAAAGAAAUAUUUUUUUUUUAAAUGAAGUAUAUAUGUAAAAUGAGAAAAAAACCUCACCCCUACCAUUAGUAAAUGACAGGAUCCUUCAUUCACAUACAUACACAGUGGGUCAGACAGUGUUUGAAAACUGACAGUCUCUAUGGUCUUCCUGGUUUCACUCCCUGCACAGAAACAGUAAAGACCCUAAAGACUAAUUGUUGGUUUUCAAAACACUGUCUAACCAAAGGUGCAUGUGUAUUCUGUUUUACACUAACAUAUAUAUAUAUCCUUUCAAAACUUGAUAAAAUUAUUAUUAUAUAAAAAAUAAUGUUGAGGUUACUGUGAUGAGAGCCUGAGUGACAUCACAGAAAGGGGACGGGACAAGAGGUGGCUGGGGAAACUCACUGUUAUUUUUUAAAUAUAAUACCUUCUCCUGAAGAUGCUGUCUCUCCUCAAGUUAAGCUCUACAAUAAGGACAUGUUGAAAUCAGCUCACGGUGUUAUAUGCAUUUCAUGGCAUGGUGUCAGACGUACUAACUUGCGCAUCUGUUAAUCUGUUUAGAUGUCUUAAGUUUACUCUACCUGAGCCAUUUGAGUUUUCUCAGCUUGCGCAUGGUUUACCUCGCGCAAGCGGUUUGUAUGCUUCAGGAUUACAUCCAAGCUGGAUAAGGAGAGUCGUGAAGUACAAGUUAAUUCUCUUUAAUAUUCUAUGGGGAAAGAUGUGGAGCCUGUCUACAAUACAUUUAAAUUCCGUGAGGGGGACGAAUUUGAGAUAGUUAUGAAUAAGCUCAGUGCCCAGAAGGAAUGUAAUGUAAUUCAUGAGAGGGCCUGUUUUCACUAGCUUCCCCCUUCUGUGAAGAAGCAAUGUACAUAAAUGAGAUCUAAAAGCAUGGAAGAAAUGCAGCAGUCCAGGAGAGCUGCAAGCGAAACACAGAGUGUGAGUAGUAGACUGCAGGCAGCAAACAGGUGGUUCAACAGGCUUGUUGCACGUGAUGUAGAGGUUUUUCAACAGACUUGUUGCACGUGAUGUAGCCGCACUCACAGAACAAAGCUGUUAUGCCCUGCUAAAGAUAAGAGGUGCAGGAAGUGCCAUUUUGAGGUGGUUUGCAAAUCUGAGUUUGUUAAGGAAAUGCAUCUGAAGAGUGACCAAGAGACACAAGAUGUGUCCUUUGUAGGGUCUGUGAUUGAACAGUCCGGCUCUGAUGAAAAAUGUUGAGUUACUCUCACAGUGAUGGGUGUAAGGAUUGAUUUUAAGAUUGAUGCAAUCCAUACAGAGGACUAUACUAACCCAGAACGUAAGGCAAAUUGGUCCUCACAAGCUACAUGAGACUCGAUCACCCACAUAGACGCCAAGGAAAAUGCACUGAAUAGUGCCACUCACAUAACAACACAUUAUAACACCAAGCACAACAAAGAGGGGGCUAGAGAUAGUAAAGACAAUAAUGUCAUUGUUUAUCAUAAGUUACUAUGCACACCCAAUGUAUCACGGACGCUACAAACUUGUUAUACCCUAUAAGUUGACUUACCAUUUGUUUCAAUAAAAAUAAAAAAUAAAGAUUGUCAAAAAAAAAGAUUGAUGCAAUCCCAUACGGUAUUACUACACCUCAUAGAAUUCCAUUCACACUUUUGCCACAGGUUGAAGCAAGACUUGAGAAUGAGAAUGGAUCGUAUUAGUGUUAUUGAGAAAGUGACUGAUGCAACUGACUUAUGUGCUGCCAUUCUGCCUGUUGCUAAGAAAAACUGGAAAGUUCGCAUUUGUGUGGAUUUAAAACACCUAAAUGAGACUGUGAGCACUUCAGAGCUAUCUGGUGGGCUUGGAAGGGCUCACUCUGGAGACUGACCACUGUUUCCAUUGAAAAACACGUAUGACUUUUGAUGAGACUACUAAGAUUCAAUGUUCAGGAAGUGCAUGUGCUGGGGAUGCAACCAGUAGUGGUUUUCCACUCUCCAGACUACAGAGUCAGCACUGACAUUGCAGAAUACAUAUCAAGAUCUGCAUUUUGCUGUGAAAGUUGGCAUACACAGAGGAGAGAACCAUUAAUAUCUACCCCGCGGCCCCUGGCAGAAGAUAGCUGCAUUUUUGUGUGUACUCACGGGAAAGAUAUAUCUGGUUGUUAAAGACUAAUACUCCAGCAUUUCAAAAUUGCACCCUUAGGUGAGGCAAACAGCAUGACUGACAUCAACCAUCUUAAAAGUACGUUUGCCAGCUGAGUUAUACCAUUGGAGUUUUUUGAGCAACAAUGGGAUGCCGUUUGCUUCUAUGGAGUUUAGAUCUUUUAGUAGAGAGCAUCAUUUCUUUCAAUCUACUUCCAGUCCACAUUACCCACAGGUCAAUGGGAUAGCUGAGAGUGCGGUUCAAAUCACCAAGUUUGUUUUGAAGCAACCAGAACUUUACAUGGCCCUGCUAGCAUACAGGGCAACCCAUAUUAAAGCCACAGAAUGUAGCUCUGCACAGCUGAUGUUAUGACGACAGAUUCGGACCACGUUGCCUUCUGUGGGGGCAUUCCAGCCUGCCUCCCCUAUGCUUCCAGAAGACAUUCAAAGGAGGGGUGAGGAGGUAAAAUGGAAUUACAGAUUUUUUUUACAAUAGAAAACACUCAGGGCACCUUCAACCAAACCCUGAGGAGUUAGGUGCUGAGAAUUUGCGAUCACAGCAGAUGGAGUCCCCAGUCAUGAGUAUUGUACCUCCCUCGAGACAAGAAUCCGGUGUGGAAACAGCGUUGCCUCCAGUGCAGUCACAACCAUUCUCACAAUGACUCGGGAAUGUUCUUGCAGAAUGACUUUGAGUGGUAGAGUUGUGAAGCUUCCAAUCGAGAUUGGCAGUUUUGUUAGAACAGUGACAGAAUAAUCCCAUAGUCACUGUGGACUAGGGUGGUCUUCCCCGAUGUCCAAGAUAGUAUGGUUAUUAUAGAAUAGUUAUUUCUUCUUCUGCUUAUUUGUUUUAUUUGUCUGUUUAAAAAAUAAAUAAAUAUAUAUAUUGUUAUUAAAAAGGGGGAGACGUGAUGAGAGCCUGAGUGACAUCACAGAAAGGGGGCAGGUCUGUAGGUGACUGGGGAAACUAAUUGCUAUUUUUUAAAUGUAAUGCUGUUGCUAAAGAUGGUGUCUGGCCAUACAUUAAGCUCUGCAAUAAAGACAUGUUGAAACCAGCUCACCGUGUUAUAUGCAUUUCAUGACAGUGACAGAUAUCCUUUAAAUUGUUUUGAUUGACUGAAGACCGUGCAGGUAUUUGAGAGAUAAUGUGUGUUCACAAAUCCUGAUAUGAUGCACAAAUUUAGGAGUCUCAAAAAUAGGAUUUGAGACAGAUUUCAGCUGUUAUGCAAGUGCUAUAUUACAACUAAUCAAGUUUAGAUAAUAAUAAAAAUACAUUAUGACAGUUUUCUCUAGGGCCAUGCACAGAGAACCGUGCUGUUUCUAGAACACUGCAGACACUUUAAAGAGAAAUUAAACUUUGUACAGGGUGGAGAUAAAGAUGGGGACAAUAGAAAUUACAAACAUGCUUGGAAAAUGUGUGUGGAAAGGUGAUUGAAAAGUCACAGUGUGCCUUUGGGGGCAAAUGCCGAGUGUAAAUGAGACAUAAGAAAGUAUGGAAAAAAUGAGAUAGGAAUGUAUCUAUCAAUGUUGACUGCACAUAUGGGAAAAAACAGUAAACUGCUGGCCAAAAGCAAAUAAUAUUUCCUGAGAUUGAGAUAAUAUGUCCCAACAACAAUUUACUGCUAAUUCCCAAGCCCAUCAGAAUCUGUUUUAUUAACCCUUGCAGGUAAAAAUGAACGAGUACAUUGUUUUCUGUUUUAUGAACAGUUUCACAGCUGUCACGAUACUUUAUCUGUAACUGAUAGAAGAUGAAGCAUUAUUGUGUUUGCUUCUCAAAUACAGACUUAAAUAACAUUCACUUGCUGUCUUCGUCACAACUGUGUAUUAAAGAACCUCUCUCUUUCUUAACAGCUCGGUAUAAUCCACAUCAUCAUCAUUCUGCCCAGGCAUUCUCUUUUCUAAUCUCUCAAACACCAGUUCUGUGUUACAACGGUUUGAAAGUGUGGAGAUUCUCACCAUGAAAGGAUUUCCCUGAAGGAAACAAAAGCUACUUCUUCAUUCUUUUCUCCCUGAAGCAUCCAUUCUUCUCAUUAGGCAUGACCUGCCGUCUAGGCCCCUUCAGUAUCGUAGUGUAAGGUGACAUGUUUCUUUUGACUGACAGAGGUGUUUUAUACAGAAUGGAACAGUCAAUCUGCUAUCUUUGAACUGGGGAGGGGAUAAAUUUUCAUGCAAACUCUCUGAUAAGCCUUCAAUUGUUUCUACAAUCUACCUGCAAGUGGUCAUUGCCUAAACGGAAUAUUAUUACCCCUCUCUUUUCCCCCACACUCCCCCAAAAAUAUACACAUGAUUAUUUACAUACGAUACAGUCAACAGUAUAUGUUUUACAUGUCACAUGUAUGUGCCAUCCUUCCAAAGACUACAGAACCUGUUUUUGCAGUUAAUGAAGGAGAUGUUAGUCAUUAGACAAAAACCAUAUCAUUGCACAGUUUGUUUGUUCCAGGCCAUGUUGCCCUAUAAGAUGAAGGAAAAACAAAACAAGGAGAGAGGGUCAGUUGAUGAGCAAGAUCAGAUUUAAUGAAAUGUGACAAGCAAACGUCUGUUCUCAUGUGAGGCACAUGACUAAGAAUAUGUGCCCUUUGAAAAGUCUAUUAUUUGACAAAAGAAUGCUCUUCCAGCUAUAUGUGCAUCAGGCAUGUAUUAUACUCUGCAAAUUUCUUAAUGAAGGUUGGCUGUGAGCUUUUGGGAGACUCAUGGUGAAAACACUGAAAUAGCAUCUACAAUAUAUUUGUAUAAAUUAUAACGGCUAUAACAACGAUGGGGAUGACAGUGUGGCAACGGUGAGAAGUAGAAGUGGAAAUAACAUGGUGAUGCUUUUUAAUGUAUGUGUAUAUUUAACAGGGAAUUGUUUUAGUAAGGACAAUAAAAGCCAAUGAAUUAUGGUUUGGAGGCUAUUGGAAGCGAAAUUAUAGCUAAAAAGUGGGUCAGAUGUGGGUCACUUAUAUUUCCAUAUAUAUUUCCAUACCUCACAACAUUAGGGAGGGUAAGAACAAAAAGGACAGAUAAGGAGACCUUUAUGAAUGAAACAAUGCACAACACCAGUGAAGCUUGAGGCAAUAGAAGGGUUGUGCCAUCCCAGUGCACAUGUUCACUACAACCCACGAAACAUAGAAUGUAAAGUGGAACUGUCCCACUUGGUCUGGGAUAGUUGGAAGGUAUAUUUUCCACCAAGGUUCUAUCUCAUUGUAGACAGUAAACUUUCACAGACAGAGCCUUCCCUACAAUUUACCCUACCCAAUUACCUGUAUAUCCCUUUAUUUGUAAAACUAUUCAAUGUUACAGUAAUCUGUAACCUGGCACUUCCAGUAAUAAUAAUAAUAAUAUAUUCGCUAGUUUUCAAGAAUAUCCUGGGGCCACAAACAC